rnacentral:rRNA from 1 species
AGACAGCAGCAGCCGCGGGAAUACGUAGGUGGCAAGCGUUGUCCGGAAUUAUUGGGCGUAAAGCGCGCGCAGGCGGUUUCUUAAGUCUGAUGUGAAAGCCCCCGGCUCAACCGGGGAGGGUCAUUGGAAACUGGGAAACUUGAGUGCAGAAGAGGAGAGUGGUAUUCCACGUGUAGCGGUGAAAUGCGUAGAGAUGUGGAGGAACACCAGUGGCGAAGGCGACUCUCUGGUCUGUAACUGACGCUGAGGAGCGAAAGCGUGGGGAGCGAACAGGAUUAGAUACCCGCGUAGUCCCUGUCUCUUAUAC